rnacentral:pre_miRNA from 1 species
AAUAUGUGCAGUUGUAGGAUUCCAUGUUGACUGUUCAUCUUAUUUGAAAUUUUUUCUAUAAUUACUACUUUUAUUGUUAUUAGAUGAUAAAACAUGAAUAACUAUGUGUGAUUUAUUUUUUUUAUUUUUUCAUAAAUUUUUUUAGAUAAGACGGAUGGUCAAAUCUUGUACACAGAAACCUAGAACUACACUCAAA